AGAGUUUGAUCCUGGCUCAGGACGAACGCUGGCGGCGUGCCUAACACAUGCAAGUCGAACGGAGAAUUUUAUUUCGGUAGAAUUCUUAGUGGCGAACGGGUGAGUAACGCGUAGGCAACCUGCCCUUUAGACGGGGACAACAUUCCGAAAGGAGUGCUAAUACCGGAUGUGAUCAUCUUGCCGCAUGGCAGGAUGAAGAAAGAUGGCCUCUACAAGUAAGCUAUCGCUAAAGGAUGGGCCUGCGUCUGAUUAGCUAGUUGGUAGUGUAACGGACUACCAAGGCGAUGAUCAGUAGCCGGUCUGAGAGGAUGAACGGCCACAUUGGGACUGAGACACGGCCCAAACUCCUACGGGAGGCAGCAGUGGGGAAUCUUCCGCAAUGGACGAAAGUCUGACGGAGCAACGCCGCGUGAGUGAUGAAGGAUUUCGGUCUGUAAAGCUCUGUUGUUUAUGACGAAUGUGCAGUGUGUGAACAAUGCAUUGCAAUGACGGUAGUAAACGAGGAAGCCACGGCUAACUACGUGCCAGCAGCCGCGGUAAUACGUAGGUGGCGAGCGUUGUCCGGAAUUAUUGGGCGUAAAGAGCAUGUAGGCGGCUUAAUAAGUCGAGCGUGAAAAUGCGGGGCUCAACCCCGUAUGGCGCUGGAAACUGUUAGGCUUGAGUGCAGGAGAGGAAAGGGGAAUUCCCAGUGUAGCGGUGAAAUGCGUAGAUAUUGGGAGGAACACCAGUGGCGAAGGCGGCUUACUGGACGAUGACUGACGUUGAGGCUCGAAAGCGUGGGGAGCAAACAGGAUUAGAUACCCUGGUAGUCCACGCCGUAAACG
rnacentral:rRNA from 1 species